rnacentral:rRNA from 1 species
GACGAACGCUGGCGGCGUGCUUAACACAUGCAAGUGGUGCGACGAACCAGGCUUCGGCCUGGGGCAGAGCCGCGAACGGGUGAGUAACACGUGGGCAACCUGCCCUGUUGAUCGGGACAACCCGGGGAAACCCGGGCUAAUACCGAAUGUGGUGCCGGCUCAUGAGAGCCGUCACGAAAGGAAGCUUCGGCCUCCGCGACAGGAUGGGCCCGCGGCCCAUUAGCUUGUUGGUGGGGUAAUGGCCUACCAAGGCAACGAUGGGUAGCUGGUCUGAGAGGAAGAUCAGGCACACGGGGACUGGGACACGGCUCAGACUCCUACGGGGGGCUGCAGUGGGGAAUCUUGCGCAAUGAGCGACAGCUUGACGCAGCAACGCCGCGUGGGGGAAGAAGGCUUUCGGGGCGUAAACCCCCUUCAGUUAGGAGGAAGCUUUAUUGGUUAAUAACCAAUUGGAGUGACGGGACUUUCAGAAGAAGCCCCGGCUAACUACGUGCCAGCCGCCGCAGUAA